CCUGCAGCAUCUUCCAAAAACGGGGCUGGAGAUGCCAGUCACAAGUUCAAAGAAGAUCACACAGUGCCUGGGCCGUCUUCUGCUGGACAACAUGGACAGGUAAUCUCCCCACACAUUCAAGGUUCCCCACACCCUUCCCGAUCUAGCCAAGGAGAUCUGGGAUCUUCCACUUCUCCCCAAGAUGCUCAGGGACUGUCCCUAUCCACCCAACAAACUCAGGGACUGUCCCUAUCCACCCAAGAUGUUUUCGAACUAACCAGAUAUUUCCAAGAGUCUAUGGGGCAUUCCACAUCUGCCCAGGCAUCCCAAAGACUUCCCACUUGUGCUGAAAGGAAAAUCAUACAUGCCUCCUCUUCCAGAAGGAGUUCCAAAAGGUUAUCCCCUACCUUACAUAACUCUAAUCUUUCCAAUUCUCCUCCAAAGCAUGUUGGACAAGACUCCUCUGGUCAAGGGGACCUACAACAGGCC
rnacentral:lncRNA from 1 species